CGGCUUAGCACAAAAACACAGAAUUGGCCACUUCUCACAACAAAGCUGGCAUUGGCCCAAUGUUCCUCUUUAACCCCCUCCCUUGUUCAUCACAAUCACGUCUAUUCGCGCUCGGCCGAACUGGGUUUACCUAGUUUUUCUUUGUUGUUUUAUUGGAGGAGGUGAGGUGAAAGCUACUGACGUUUUUUCUCUCCAAUAUCUGUUCAACCGAGGAGACAGCCAUACUAUUUACUAAUCAAAGAUUGACUUCAAAUAAAUAUAAAAACAGACCGCCUACAGAGUCUGAACGAUUGAACAGCAAUGAACGUAGUCAUUGGAACAAUGCGUAAUGGGUGCGUGGAAACUUUGAAACAACCUCGGCUGUUUGCAACUGUUAUCGGUUCAAGAGUGAUGUGCUCCUCUAAGACCGAUCUGCCCAUUGUUGCUGCCAAGCUGCCUUUCAGAGUGAAAUUAACUGGCGGGAGAAAGUACGCCUGGUGUGCGUGUGGACACAGCAAGAGACAACCAUUUUGUGAUGGUACUCACAGAACUAAUGCGCCCAGCAUCUCUCCAGUGCUCUUCACCAUUGAGAAGGACUGCACCGUUAUGCUGUGUGCCUGUAAGCAAACCAAAAAUGCACCAUACUGUGAUGGCACGCAUUUCAAGGUCAUCUUCCAGCAUCUAGCCAGCUCAGUGAAGAACAUGUUUAAGUGAUCAACUGAGUCGAAUUGCAUGAAAUAGUUUAUUUUAUUCUACUGUACAACCUAUAUACCUCCUACAGCAUCUGAUUACUGCUAUAUGUAUUUUCGUCAAUACCCAUACGAUUUCAUGUACUGUAUGCAAUGUAAUAAAUAG